CCUACGGGGGGCAGCAGUGAGGAAUAUUGGACAAUGGGGGGAACCCUGAUCCAGCGACGCCGCGUGAGUGAAGAAGUAUUUCGGUAUGUAAAGCUCUAUCAGCAGGGAAGAAAGAAAUGACGGUACCUGACUAAGAAGCCCCGGCUAACUACGUGCCAGCAGCCGCGGUAAUACGUAGGGGGCAAGCGUUAUCCGGAUUUACUGGGUGUAAAGGGAGCGUAGACGGCGAUGCAAGUCUGAAGUGAAAGGCGGGGGCCCAACCCCCGGACUGCUUUGGAAACUGUAUGGCUGGAGUGCAGGAGAGGUAAGUGGAAUUCCUAGUGUAGCGGUGAAAUGCGUAGAGAUUAGGAGGAACACCAGUGGCGAAGGCGGCUUACUGGACUGUAACUGACGUUGAGGCUCGAAAGCGUGGGGAGCAAACAGGAUUAGAUACCCGAGUAGUC
rnacentral:rRNA from 1 species